AUGCAGUGUUAUGGUGUCAAAUUGUGUGAUCAGGUUCUGAAGGAAGCUUUACCUGUAUGGAAGGUGGGGACGCCCCGCCAGGCAUCUCCAUGGGGCGCUCCAUGUCCUCGGAAGGCGACCUGGACCUCCUGGAGCAGCUGCUCUCCGGCGACAACGCCUGGCUUGAAGUGGCGCCCAACACUUCUCGCUCACCCAAUUUUUUUGCUUCUCCCUCCACCUUCCUCUCAGAUGCCACAGCCACCACCACCACGACGCCGGCAGGCGCAAACAGCACCCUGUGGAUUCCGCCAGCCUCCUCCACCGUCCGGCAAAGGUUUGAGCAAGCUCUGGAUUACAUCAAGCAGAUGCAGAGAGAUGCCGGCAUGCUUGUGCAGCUAUGGGUGCCGCAAAAAAACCGUGAUGGCAAGUUGGUGCUGACAACGAGCGGGCAGCCAUUUACUCUGGACAACACCUCAGAUAGACUCAUGCAGUUCAGGGACGUGUCGACGCAUUACCACUUCUCUGCAGAUGUUGGGUCGGAAGCCUCACCGGUUGGGCUCCCCGGGAGGGUGUUCAUUGGCAAGCUACCUGAGUGGUCACCGGACGUUCGGCUCUUCACCAGCUAUGAAUACCCCAGGGUAAAAUAUGCUCAGGAUUUGGACGUCCAUGGGACAAUGGGGCUGCCGGUGUUCGAGAAGGGGAGUUACUCGUGCUUGGGUGUCAUGGAAUUGAUCAUGACCAGGCAAAAGCUCAACUUCACCUCAGAGAUCAACGACAUCUGCAGGGCUCUCCAGGCAGUUAACCUGAGAAGCACAGAAGUUUCAAGCACUCCGCGCGCCACAAAGUUCAACAGUGCUUCCUACAAAGAUGCUCUACCAGAGAUACUAGAAGUCCUAAGGGCAGCCUGCGUCACCCACAAUCUCCCAUUAGCUCAGACCUGGGUCACAUGUGCUCAACAAGGGAAAGGGGGAAGCCGCCACACCGAUGAGAACUACCCGUACUGCAUCUCCACCAUUGACACAGCAUGCUACGUCAAUGAUCCCCAGAUGCAGAACUUCCAUGACUCCUGCUCUGACCACCACCUUCUGCGUGGGCAAGGAGUUGCAGGGAAAGCCUUCGAAACGAACCAGCCAUGCUUCUUACCAGACAUUGGAUCUUCAGCUAAAGAACACUAUCCAUUAUCCCACCAUGCUAAGAUCUUCAACUUAAAAGGUGCCGUGGCAAUCCGGUUGAGGUGCACGCGGACUGGGACAGCGGACUUUGUGCUAGAGUUCUUUCUGCCGACCAACUGUGAAGCCCUCGAGGAGCAAAAGGCAGUCCUGGACUCCUUGUCAGGCACCAUGCGUAGUGCUUGCCGAACUCUACGUGUGGUUACGGACAAGGAGAUUGGGGAUGAGGAAAUGCUGGAAGUGAAUGAGCUGAACUCAUUUGGUCCUCAAGGGAAGAAUAAGGUUGAAGAGUUGUCCUUUGGAAACCAAGCAACAGAACAUAGAGAGGAGGCAUCAUGGACAAGUCUAGCAAGGACUUCAAAAGAAUCAGAUUUAGCUGAAUUAAGUAUGCAUGGUAUGCUAUCACCUGUAGGACAGGGUCUAUCUCCAGCUGGUGCUCAGACAAGUGCACAAGGCAGCAAAGGGAAAAGGCGCACAAAGACGGAGAAGACUGUGAGCUUGCCGGUUCUUCGGCAGUACUUUGCUGGUAGCCUGAAAGAUGCAGCAAGGAGCCUUGGAGUGUGCCCUACCACCCUCAAAAGAAUAUGCAGGCAGCAUGGUAUAAAUCGCUGGCCAUCACGAAAGAUCAAGAAGGUAGACCAUUCUCUAAGAAAGCUGCAGCAGAUCAUUGAUUCAGUUCACGGAGGAGAGACAGCUUUCCAGCUUAAUACCCUGUACAAGGAUCUCACAAACACCUCUGUAUCAUCUGACAACAAUUUGUCAGGAAGCGUCACAGUUCCUCCACACAAGCAGAGCAAUCUCACUGAUUUUGAGGGGCACCGACACCACAGGCUAAGCAGUAAUGUGCCAUCAACCUCACACUCACACUCAUCAUGCAGCCAAAGUUCUGAUUCAAGCCCGUCAUCGUGCAGUGGUGGAUCAACAAAGCAUCCACCUCAGGCUGGAGUUGAUUUGCUUAUGUCAGGAAAUCCUGUAAAUCACAGCCCUGUCCAGACUCUGCAAACAGAAAAUGCAUCAAUAAGAGGACAUUUCCCAGUUCAGGAGGCACCAGAUCUGUUGCAUAAUCUGAACCAACAGGCUUUAGGUGGGCAGCAUUCUUCUCGAAGCCCAUCACCCCCAAAACAGAAUGCAGAUGCAGGUAUGAGAAUAAAGGCCACAUUUGGCUCAGAAAAGGUCAGGUUCAGAUUGAAGCCUGAGUGUAGUUUUCAAGAACUGAAGCAGGAGAUGGCAAGACGUUUGAGUAUAGUAGACACAAGCUUUUUGAUUGUAAAGUACCUGGAUGAUGAUUUAGAGUGGGUCUUGAUGACAUGCGAUGCAGAUUUACAGGAAUGCCUUCAUGUAUAUAAACUAGCAAAUCUCCAAACAGUCAAAAUUUCAGUUCAUCUAGCUCCUAUUCCGGAGGCAAGGGUCACUAUUGGUCACACUGGUUUGUCAUAAAGACAUCGUAGGCCUCAUCAGCUUGUGGGAUUUAAUCAGAAAUCUACGAAGAAGCAGUGCUUGGUUUUACCAGAGGGCAGCCCAGAAUCCAUGAUUGGCAGUCCAUGCUAGGUAGCAAGUAACAUCACUGCUUCCAGUUUUGCUGCUAGCUGGAUUAGCCUUUGAUUUGAUUCUCAGGCUAGGAGCUGCUGAUGACACUAAAGCCAGUUUCAAGUAUUAGAAUACACUGAAGUAAGCAUGCAUUGACUUGUAAAUACUCUCACUGAUGUACCACAAACUCUGAAUGACAGUCCAACUUGAUUGUGUUGAUAGGGUGGAUAUCUCUGAAUAAGGUUUGCUCAAGAUAUAUUUUGGUUCUUGGAAUGUUGAUGUGCAAUAAUCCCCAAUGGCUUUGUCUGAUUAUUGAUCAACUGAGGAUAUGCCGCCAUUCAAUGCCUCACCCAAGUGACCAGCACCAAGGCUUUCAGUGUUCAGUGUGUUUUAUCAUUCAAUGGACAUGAAGCUCUAUUUUUGUAACAAAAAUUCUGCAGUAAUUAUUCUGGAUUAGUUCUAGAUAUUGGAGGAUAGGGUACUUUGUUCAAUUUUUUUGUCCUUACAAAACUAAAUAUGUAUGGUACACUCGUACCACAGAACUGUCUCUUUGCAAAGACUGUUUGUUGCCGUAGACAGUGCUUUAUUUAAGAAGCUUUCAGUUU